GACAGCUUGGCCGAGUGGUUAAGGCGAUGGACUUGAAGUCCAUUGGGGUAACCUGCGUGAGUUCAAAUCUCACAGCUGUCG
rnacentral:tRNA from 1 species